AUAAUUUUUGGAUCAAAAAUGAACUUAUGAUGAACUUUAAAAUAAAAAGCUAUUUAAAAAUCAAUUUAGAAAAAUAAAACUAAAAAUGAAAAAACAGGAGCCAUCAGAUCUCCUGCAUUAAUUGAGGUGGCAGAUUUGAUGAUCUAAAACGCGCAUUCUACAUGUACUCUCAGUCAACGCGCCAUACACAUGGUAAGCACAAACAAAAGAUCAAAUUAAAAGAUGGAAGAGAGGUCAAAGGGUGAGAGCAAUGCCACGUCACC
rnacentral:lncRNA from 1 species